GCCUGGCUGGCUCAGUUGGUAGAGCAUGUGACUCUUGAUCUUGGGGUCAUGAGUUCAAGCCCCACAUUGGGCA
rnacentral:tRNA from 1 species